CCUACGGGAGGCAGCAGUGGGGAAUUUUGGACAAUGGGCGAAAGCCUGAUCCAGCAAUGCCGCGUGAGUGAAGAAGGCCUUCGGGUUGUAAAGCUCUUUUGUCAGGGAAGAAACGGUGAGAGCUAAUAUCUCUUGCUAAUGACGGUACCUGAAGAAUAAGCACCGGCUAACUACGUGCCAGCAGCCGCGGUAAUACGUAGGGUGCAAGCGUUAAUCGGAAUUACUGGGCGUAAAGCGUGCGCAGGCGGUUUUGUAAGUCUGAUGUGAAAUCCCCGGGCUCAACCUGGGAAUUGCAUUGGAGACUGCAAGGCUAGAAUCUGGCAGAGGGGGGUAGAAUUCCACGUGUAGCAGUGAAAUGCGUAGAUAUGUGGAGGAACACCGAUGGCGAAGGCAGCCCCCUGGGUCAAGAUUGACGCUCAUGCACGAAAGCGUGGGGAGCAAACAGGAUUAGAUACCCUGGUAGUCCACGCCCUAAACGAUGUCUACUAGUUGUCGGGUCUUAAUUGACUUGGUAACGCAGCUAACGCGUGAAGUAGACCGCCUGGGGAGUACGGUCGCAAGAUUAAAACUCAAAUGAAUUGACGG
rnacentral:rRNA from 1 species